rnacentral:rRNA from 1 species
AUUGAACGCUAGCGGCAUGCUUUACACAUGCAAGUCGAACGAGUGGCGGACGGGUGAGUAAUAUAUCGGCACGUGCCCAGUAGCGGGGGAUCACUACCCGAAAGAGUUGCUAAUACCGCCUACUAUUGGCUCGGCCGAUAUCGGAUGAGGUAGUUGGUGGGGUAAAGGCUCACCAAGGCAACGAUCCGUAGCUGGUUUGAGAGGACGACCAGCCACACUGGGACUGAGACACGGCCCAGACUCCUACGGGAGGCAGCAGUGGGGAAUUUUGGAUAAUGGGGGAAACCCGGAUCCAGCCAGCCGGCGUGUAUGAGAAGGCCUUCGGGUUGUAAAGUACUUUUGGCAGGGAAGCGGUAUCUGCAGAAUAAGCGCCGGCUAACUACGUGCCAGCAGCCGCGGUAAUAC